AAGGUUCAGAUACUUUUUCAUACCACUGUAUAUGUUUACAGAAGACUGAGCUAGUCUCAGUCCUUCUUGAUUGAUAUAAUCAUUGAUUCAUGAACUCGGACAGUGGUCAAAUGCAAUCCCUUUGUUGUUCACAUCAGGUUUGAUGAAAUGACUUUGCACCGAGCGAGCGUAUCCUCAGUCGAGAAGUACAAGAGCUGUGCCACAUACUGUAUCAAGAUCAAUUUGAACAGUUUCAUGUGAAAGGUCUUCGCUCAAAGUGUCCUUCUUCACACUCAGCUCGGCCACCUGAGCCCUCAACGGAGUCACGACUUCGUAAAAGCGCAUCUACAAACAUAACGGAAAAGGAAGGUUACGAAGCUCCUGAUAGCGCUCAUGUGACAUGUCCAAGUUCCGUAGAGAUCGACGAAGCUCCCCGGCCUUCUCCCGCAUCUGCAUGUUCGCCUCCUCCAGCUGCUGCUGCCGGAGCAAGAUGCCAUCCACUUCUUUCUUGCGCAGAGCCUGCUGCUUCCUAAAAACAACGGUUCGUAUUCAGUGUGCCAUGUUAGCAAUAUGUCAUGGUUGAAGCCUGCAUAUGAUCACCUGUUGUCUUCCUGCGCGAGCUUCAGCUCACUGUCGAGCCUCAGCGCCAACACUUGUUUCUGAUGGAGGGCAUCGUUCAGUCUCUCCUCAAGCUCCUCCAACUAAUGUACAACAGAGCACUACCAUAAUACAGGUCCUUCUAAAAAAAUUUGAAUAUUGUGAUAAAGUUCAUUAUUUUCUGUAAUGUACUGAUAAUAAUUAGACUUUCAUAUAUUUUAAAUUCAUUACUCACAACUGAAGUAG